rnacentral:rRNA from 1 species
AUUGAACGCUGGCGGCAGGCUUAACACAUGCAAGUCGAGCGGGGUGAUGGUGCUUGCACUAUCACUUAGCGGCGGACGGGUGAGUAAUGCUUAGGAAUCUGCCUAUUAGUGGGGGACAACAUCUCGAAAGGGAUGCUAAUACCGCAUACGUCCUACGGGAGAAAGCAGGGGAUCACUUGUGACCUUGCGCUAAUAGAUGGGCCUAAGUCGGAUUAGCUAGUUGGUGGGGUAAAGGCCUACCAAGGCGACGAUCUGUAGCGGGUCUGAGAGGAUGAUCCGCCACACUGGGACGGGGCCACGGCCCAGACUCCUACGGGAGGCAGCAGUGGGGAAUAUUGGACAAUGGGGGGAACCCUGAUCCAGCCAUGCCGCGUGUGUGAAGAAGGCCUUAUGGUUGUAAAGCACUUUAAGCGAGGAGGAGGCUCUUUUGGUUAAUACCCAAGAUGAGUGGACGUUACUCGCAGAAUAAGCACCGGCUAACUCUGUGCCAGCCGCCGCGGUAA